rnacentral:rRNA from 1 species
UGGGGAAUUUUGGACAAUGGGGGCAACCCUGAUCCAGCAAUGCCGCGUGUGUGAAGAAGGCCUUCGGGUUGUAAAGCACUUUUGUCAGGGAAGAAACGGUGAAGGCUAAUAUCCUUUGCUAAUGACGGUACCUGAAGAAUAAGGACCGGCUAACUACGUGCCAGCAGCCGCGGUAAUACGUAGGGUCCAAGCGUUAAUCGGAAUUACUGGGCGUAAAGCGUGCGCAGGCGGUUGUGUAAGUCAGAUGUGAAAUCCCCGGGCUUAACCUGGGAAUGGCAUUUGAGACUGCACGGCUAGAGUGUGUCAGAGGGAGGUAGAAUUCCGCGUGUAGCAGUGAAAUGCGUAGAGAUGUGGAGGAAUACCGAUGGCGAAGGCAGCCCCCUGGGAUAACACUGACGCUCAUGCACGAAAGCGUGGGGAGCAAACA